rnacentral:lncRNA from 1 species
CUGACACCCCGGAGCUGUCCCACAGUGAGUGUGCUUGUUUGGCAUUCGGGACGGGUACUGCACAAGAAAAUUGGUUUGUUGCCGCACCAGAGUUUCCAAAGUAACCUAUCCAGACCAUGCCAUAGUAGAUCUCUCUGGAAGCAAGCAUGCAAAUGAAGCUUUGAGGUGAAUCCAGUUCUCC